AGUCGAGGGGUAUUUAUCUUCGGAUAGAGAGACCGGCGCACGGGUGCGUAACGCGUAUGCAAUCUACCUUUUACAGAGGGAUAGCCCAGAGAAAUUUGGAUUAAUACCUCAUAGUAUUAUGAAAUGGCAUCAUUUUAUAAUUAAAGUCACAACGGUAAAAGAUGAGCAUGCGUCCCAUUAGCUAGUUGGUAAGGUAACGGCUUACCAAGGCUACGAUGGGUAGGGGUCCUGAGAGGGAGAUCCCCCACACUGGUACUGAGACACGGACCAGACUCCUACGGGAGGCAGCAGUGAGGAAUAUUGGACAAUGGGCGCAAGCCUGAUCCAGCCAUGCCGCGUGCAGGAUGACGGUCCUAUGGAUUGUAAACUGCUUUUAUACGAGAAGAAACACUCCAACGUGUUGGAGCUUGACGGUAUCGUAAGAAUAAGGAUCGGCUAACUCCGUGCCAGCAGCCGCGGUAAUACGGAGGAUCCAAGCGUUAUCCGGAAUCAUUGGGUUUAAAGGGUCCGUAGGCGGUUUAGUAAGUCAGUGGUGAAAGCCCAUCGCUCAACGGUGGAACGGCCAUUGAUACUGCUGAACUUGAAUUAUUAGGAAGUAACUAGAAUAUGUAGUGUAGCGGUGAAAUGCUUAGAGAUUACAUGGAAUACCAAUUGCGAAGGCAGGUUACUACUAAUGGAUUGACGCUGAUGGACGAAAGCGUGGGUAGCGAACAGGAUUGGAUACCCUGGUAGUCCACGCCGUAAACGAUGGAUACUAGCUGUUGGGAGCAAUCUCAGUGGCUAAGCGAAAGUGAUAAGUAUCCCACCUGGGGAGUA
rnacentral:rRNA from 1 species